rfam:Oryza barthii chromosome 5, whole genome shotgun sequence.
AAUAAGUGUAGUUUUACACUAUUCACGUUCAACGUUUGACCGCUCGUUUUAUUUGAAAUUUUUUUAUGAUUUGUAUUUUUAUUGCUAUUAGAUGAUAAAACAUGAAUAGUAUUUUUUGUGUGACUAAAUAUUUUUAAAUUUUUCACAAAUUUUUUAAAUAAGACGGACGGUCAAACGUUGGGCACGAAUAUCCAUAGCCGUACUUAUU